AGCGAACGCUGGCGGCAGGCUUAACACAUGCAAGUCGAGCGGGCCUUUCGGGGUCAGCGGCGGACGGGUGAGUAACGCGUGGGAACGUGCCCUCUGGUUCGGAAUAACUCAGGGAAACUUGAGCUAAUACCGGAUACGCCCUUUUGGGGAAAGGCUUGCUGCCGGAGGAUCGGCCCGCGUCUGAUUAGCUAGUUGGUGUGGUAACGGCUCACCAAGGCGACGAUCAGUAGCUGGUCUGAGAGGAUGAUCAGCCACACUGGGACUGAGACACGGCCCAGACUCCUACGGGAGGCAGCAGUGGGGAAUAUUGGACAAUGGGCGCAAGCCUGAUCCAGCCAUGCCGCGUGAGUGAUGAAGGCCUUAGGGUUGUAAAGCUCUUUUAUCCGGGACGAUAAUGACGGUACCGGAGGAAUAAGCCCCGGCUAACUUCGUG
rnacentral:rRNA from 1 species